ACUGCUCAGUAACACGUGGACAACCUGCCCUUAGGUUGGGUAUAAACCCGGGAAACUGGGUAUAAUACCCGAUAGGUCUCGAUUGCUGGAAUGCAUCGAGAUUUAAAGCUCCGGCGCCUAAGGAUGGGUCUGCGGCCUAUCAGGUAGUAGUGGGUGUAGCGUACCUACUAGCCUACGACGGGUACGGGUUGUGAGAGCAAGAGCCCGGAGAUGGAUUCUGAGACACGAAUCCAGGCCCUACGGGGUGCAGCAGGCGCGAAAACUUUACAAUGCUGGCAACAGCGAUAAGGGAACCUCGAGUGCCAGGUUACAAAUCUGGCUGUCGAGAUGCCUAGAAAGCAUUUCAUAGCAAGGGCCGGGCAAGACCGGUGCCAGCCGCCGCGGUAACACCGGCGGCUCGAGUGGUAACCGUUAUUAUUGGGUCUAAAGGGUCUGUAGCCGGCCGGAUAAGUCUCUUGAGAAAUCUGGCAGCUUAACUGUCAGGCUUUCAGGAGAUACUGUCUGGCUCGAGGCCGGGAGAGGUGAGAGGUACUUCAGGGGUAGGGGUGAAAUCUUGUAAUCCUUGAAGGACCACCAGUGGCGAAGGCGUCUCACCAGAACGGACCUGACGGCAAGGGACGAAAGCUAGGGGCACGAACCGGAUUAGAUACCCGGGUAGUCCUAGCCGUAAACGAUACUCGCUAGGUGUCGGCCACGGUGCGACCGCUGUCGGUGCCGUAGGGAAGCCGUGAAGCGAGCCACCUGGGAAGUACGGCCGCAAGGCUGAAACUUAAAGGAAUUGGCGGGGGAGCAC
rnacentral:rRNA from 1 species